AUUGAACGCUGGCGGCAGGCCUAACACCUGCAAGUCGAACGAGUGGCGGACGGGUGAGUAAUGUCUGGGAAACUGCCUGAUGGAGGGUGAUAAAUACUGGAAACGGUAGCUAAUACCUCAUCCAAUCGGAUGUACCCAGAUGGGCUUGGCUAGUAGGUGGGGUAAAGGCUCACCUGGGCGACGAUCACUCGCUGGUCUGAGAGGAUGACCAGCCACACUGGAACUGGGACACGGUCCAGACGCCUACGGGAGGCAGCAGUGGGGAAUAUUGCACAAUGGGCGCAAGCCUGAUGCAGCCAUGCCGCGUGUAUGAAGAAGGCCUGCGGGUUGUAAAGUACUUUCAGCGGGGAGGCGUUACCCGCAGAAGAAGCACCGGCUAACUCCGUGCCAGCCGCCGCGGUAAUUC
rnacentral:rRNA from 1 species